GUCCACGCCGUAAACGAUGGAUACUAGCUGUUGGGCGGCAAGUUCAGUGGCUAAGCGAAAGUGAUAAGUAUCCCACCUGGGGAGUACGUUCGCAAGAAUGAAACUCAAAGGAAUUGACGGGGGCCCGCACAAGCGGUGGAGCAUGUGGUUUAAUUCGAUGAUACGCGAGGAACCUUACCAAGGCUUAAAUGUAGAUUGACCGGUUUGGAAACAGACUUUCGCAAGACAAUUUACAAGGUGCUGCAUGGUUGUCGU
rnacentral:rRNA from 1 species